AUACGAAAGGUGCAAGCGUUGUUCGGAUUUACAGGGCGUAAAGAGAGUGUAGGUGGUUUAUUAAGUGGGAUGUGAAAUCCCGGGGCUCAACCUCGGAACUGCAUUCGAUACUGAUAGGCUAGAGUUUGGGAGGGGUAAGCGGAAUUCCGUGUGUAGCAGUGAAAUGCGUAGAUAUACGGAGGAACACCUGAGGCGAAGGCGGCUUACUGGACCAAUACUGACACUGAGACUCGAAAGCGUGGGUAGCAAACAGGAUUAGAUACCCUAGUAGUCC
rnacentral:rRNA from 1 species